rnacentral:rRNA from 1 species
GGAUUAGAUACCCUGGUAGUCCACGCCGUAAACGAUGUCAACUAGUUGUUGGGUUCCUUGUGGACUUAGUAACGCAGCUAACGCAUUAAGUUGACCGCCUGGGGAGUACGGCCGCAAGGUUAAAACUCAAAUGAAUUGACGGGGGCCCGCACAAGCGGUGGAGCAUGUGGUUUAAUUCGAUGCAACGCGAAGAACCUUACCUACUCUUGACAUCCAGAGAAUUCGCUAGAGAUAGCUUAGUGCCUUCGGGAACUCUGAGACAGGUGCUGCAUGGCUGUCGUCAGCUCGUGUUGUGAAAUGUUGGGUUAAGUCCCGUACGAGCGCAACCCUAUCCUUAUUUGCCACCAGUAAUGGCGGAACC